CGGGAGCGGGCCCGGGCCGGGAUCGGGACGCGGAGCCGGAGCGGGCCCGGGCCGGGAUCGGGACGCGGAGCCGGAGCGGGCCCGGGCCAGGCGCUCCCGGCAGGACCCGCGGCCGCUGUGCCGGGAGCGCAGGCGCGGAGCGGGAGCGGCAAUGGCGGAGCCCGGGGAGCGGCGGGGCCGGGCCGGGGACAGCGGGGGAGACUGCGGCGGGCUCGGAGGAGGGAACACCGUGCAGUCGAAGGUCUCAUAGCCUGAGCAGGACAAUCUCUGGACAUGGAAAAUCAGUUUUUCAUUGUUACAGCAUCAGCUCCAGGGAAUGAUGAAGCGAUGUCGUGAUUUUGAACUUGUGCUCAUGGAGGAAAUGCACUGGAACAACCAACACUGCUCCACCUUUAUGGACAACCCUGUGGGUUUGGAUCUUGAUUUGUGGCUGUGAAAUCUCCUCACAGAAACCUCUGGGGCUGACACAAAGACAAGGAACCUUUGAGAUGGAAAGAGCCGGAGCAAGUGGAUGUGAGAAAGGAAAAUUAAAGAUGGGAAACGUUCAGGCAAGAGGUGCCGAAAAGAACCGGAGUUUCUGAUCUGAAGUCUCCAACUGAAAAUCCCCUGUGGAUUGUCACCGGUCCAGUUUUCAUGGACUGCUCACCUUGGCCAGGAGUGUCCAAUCCUGCUGGAAAUGCACUGCACCAGGAUGGCAUUUUCGUUUCGUGCUGGUGAAGACCCUCUGGGUGACCCCCAGGCACUAGAAGGGCUGGCCUGGGCUCCCAGGGCACUAAUUCCAGGAGUUGUGUUUUUGGGAACAGCACAGGAGCCUUUCCCUUGCCCAGAGGAGCAGCCAGUGCCUCUCUUCAUUCACAAAUGCCCAGGAUGGAACACAAGGAAAGGAACAGCAAUGUGGAAAUGCCCCACACUGGGAGCUGAUGGUGCUCUGGAUCACAUUUUGGAUUUCUAAUGUCAAAGGGGCAGUGUGGAGGGGUUUUUCUCUCUCUGCUGUUCAUUGCUGUACUCACUGCCCUUGUUGCUCUCACUGUUACUGUGUGUUGCCAUUACUAUUAAAUUAAAUUAAAUUUGUCUUGGUUUCCAUUAUUAUUAAACUGUUCUGAGCUGGA